GACGAACGCUGGCGGCGUGCCUAACACAUGCAAGUCGAACGGGAUCCAUGGAGUGCUUGCACUCCGGAAGAUCUAGUGGCGAACGGGUGAGUAACACGUGAGAAACCUGCCCCAGACUCUGGGAUAACCUCGGGAAACCGAAGCUAAUACCGGAUAUUCUCCUUUGGUCGCAUGGCCAGUUGAGGAAAGUUUUUCGGUCUGGGAGGGUCUCGCGGCCUAUCAGCUAGUUGGUGGGGUAACGGCCCACCAAGGCUACGACGGGUAGCUGGUUUGAGAGAACGAUCAGCCACACUGGAACUGAGACACGGUCCAGACUCCUACGGGAGGCAGCAGUGGGGAAUCUUGCGCAAUGGGCGAAAGCCUGACGCAGCAACGCCGCGUGCGGGAUGAAGGCCUUCGGGUUGUAAACCGCUUCAGCAGGACGAAAUGACGGUACCUGCAGAAGAAGCCCGGCUAACUACGUG
rnacentral:rRNA from 1 species